GAUGAACGCUAGCGGCAGGCCUAAUACAUGCAAGUCGGACGGGAUCUGGGAGCUUGCUCCCAAUGAGAGUGGCGCACGGGUGCGUAACACGUAUGUAACCUACCUUAAUCAGGGGGAUAGCCUCUCGAAAGAGAGAUUAACACCGCAUAACAUGACGACUCAGCAUUGAGAUGUCAUCAAAUAUUUAUAGGAUUAAGAUGGGCAUGCGGGACAUUAGCUAGUUGGCGGGGUAACGGCCCACCAAGGCGACGAUGUCUAGGGGAUCUGAGAGGAUGACCCCCCACACUGGUACUGAGACACGGACCAGACUCCUACGGGAGGCAGCAGUAAGGAAUAUUGGUCAAUGGGCGCAAGCCUGAACCAGCCAUGCCGCGUGCAGGAAGACGGCCCUACGGGUUGUAAACUGCUUUUGUACCGGAAUAAACCUUUGGUCGUGACCGAAGCUGAAUGUACGGUAAGAAUAAGGAUCGGCUAACUCCGUGCCAGCAGCCGCAGUAAUAC
rnacentral:rRNA from 1 species